UUGCUUAUUUCAUGUUUGCUCAGUCACCACGGUUAAACAGAGAGUUUGAACAAGGCUACUGGCGGGCGCACAUCAGGGGUCAAGGGUCCCCAACAGCCCGGCGAAGGGCCAGCCCGCCAAAGCAACAGGGUAAUAUAGACAGAGGGUUGGAGGUCGGGCCCGAAGACCCUAACUCGAUAAUGAUCCUUCCGCAGGUUCACCUAGAAAGAUGUUAGUACAUAUUUGAUGCAUGGUAAGGGAAGUAAUAAAAUUCGACCUGACGUACCUACGGAAA
rnacentral:misc_RNA from 1 species